AAAAGUUUGAUUCUUGCUUUUAUAGUUUUCGGUCUAAUAAAAUUUUAUAUGAAAAUCUUGGUGCUCUUAAAAUAAGAUAAAGUUUAAAAUUAAAGUUUUCCUAAAGUUAGGUGAAUUCUCAAUAUAACAUACUAAAUGAAUUAAUUAGUGUUAGAUUUGAUUAUUAGAAAAGUUGUGACUAAAAUUUGUGCCAGCAGUCGCGGUUAUACAUGGGUGACUAGGAAAUUAGGUGGGUAAGUAGAAAGUUGUUUGUUGGGUUAGGUUAGUUUGAUAGUGUGGCGGGUGAAAUCGGUUUGCACAAUUUUAUAAAAACUUAAUAAAAAUUAGUAAUAAAAUCUAAAACCUCAAGUAAAUAAACUAGGAUUAGAUACCCUAUUAUAUUUGGUUUAAAAAUAAAUCCCGGUUAUUAGUAGUUAUAAUCUUUAAAACUAAAGAAUUUGGCGGCAUUUUAGUCUUGUUAGAGGAACCUGUUUAAUGAUCGAUAAGCCACGAAUAAUUUUACUUACUUUUAGGAUUUGUAUACCGUCAUUAUUAGGUAACUUUUAUAGAAUUAGAUAUUAAAAUUUUAGAGAAAUGAGUAUAUUAGAUCAAGGUGCAGUUUAUGUGUAAGUAUAAAUGGGUUACAAUAACAGCUUGUUAUUACGGAUUAAGUUGUGAAAUACGGCGUAUUGAAGGAGGAUUUAAUUGUAUUCUUUUUUUAAUAAGGAAAGUUGGUAUUAGCUCUAUAAUGUGUACAUAUCGCCCGUCGCUUUCGCAAAUUAAGGCGAAAUAAGUCGUAACAUAGUAGGUGUACUGGAAAGUGCACCUAGAAAA
rnacentral:rRNA from 1 species